GCCCAAGAGAUCGGGAUAACACCUGGAAACAGAUGCUAAUACCGGAUAACAACAGAUGAUGCCUAUCAACUGUUUAAAAGAUGGUUCUGCUAUCACUCUUGGAUGGACCUGCGGUGCAUUAGCUAGUUGGUAGGGUAACGGCCUACAAAGGCGAUGAUGCAUAGCCGAGUUGAGAGACUGAUCGGCCACAUUGGGACUGAGACACGGCCCAAACUCCUACGGGAGGCAGCAGCC
rnacentral:rRNA from 1 species